CAGGAGGCUGACCUCUGAGGAAGAGGAGGUGUAACCUAGAAGAUGACACUGUUGGGUCUUCUGUGUCUGGUGACCGCCCUUCCUGGUAUCCUGUCCCAGGUACAGCUUCAGGAGUCAGGACCUGGCCUGGUGAAGCCCUCUCAAUCACUGUCCCUCACCUGCUCUGUCACUGGUUACUCCAUCACCAGUGAUUACUGGAGCUGGAUCAGGCAGUCCCCAGGGAAGAAGCUGGAGUGGAUGGGGUACAUCAGUUAUAGUGGUAGCACCAGCUACAACCCAUCCUUCAAGAGCCACAUCUCCAUCACCAGAGAAACAUCCAAGAACCAGUUCUUCCUGCAGCUGAACUCUGUGACCACUGAAGACACUGCCACAUAUUACUGUGCAAGACACACAGUGAGAGAACCUCAGCAUGAGCCCAGACACAAACUUCCUUGCAGAGGAGCUCUGGACCAGCAGGGGGCGAUCAACCCUAAACAAGCCCAGGAACUCUAUGACCAGAACUGGAAGGAAAAACUCCUUGUUUUCUCUGACUUUGCUUCUCACUCUCUAUGGGCAGAGAGGUUUGGGGGUCAUUUCUCUCUCUGA